rnacentral:rRNA from 1 species
UGCGUAGGCGGCGUUAUAAGUCAGAUGUGAAAGCUUUCAGCUUAACUGGAAAAUUGCAUUUGAUACUGUAAUGCUUGAAUCAGGCUGAGGUCAGCGGAAUGAGUCAUGUAGCGGUGAAAUGCAUAGAUAUGACUUAGAACACCAAUUGCGAAGGCAGCUGACUAGACCUGUAUUGACGCUGAGGCACGAAAGCGUGGGGAGCGAACAGGAUUAGAUACCCUGGUAGUCC